UGAGGAAUAUUGGACAAUGGGUGGAAGCCUGAUCCAGCCAUCCCGCGUGUAGGAAGACGGCCCUAUGGGUUGUAAACUACUUUUAUCUGGGGAUAAACCUACUUACGUGUAAGUAGCUGAAGGUACCAGAUGAAUAAGCACCGGCUAACUCCGUGCCAGCAGCCGCGGUAAUACGGAGGGUGCAAGCGUUAUCCGGAUUUAUUGGGUUUAAAGGGUCCGUAGGCGGACUGAUAAGUCAGUGGUGAAAUCCGACAGCUUAACUGUCGAACUGCCAUUGAUACUGUUAGUCUUGAGUAAGGUUGAAGUGGCUGGAAUAAGUAGUGUAGCGGUGAAAUGCAUAGAUAUUACUUAGAACACCAAUUGCGAAGGCAGGUCACUAAGUCUUAACUGACGCUGAUGGACGAAAGCGUGGGGAGCGAACA
rnacentral:rRNA from 2 species